CGGUGCGGUUGGGCGGCUGGCGCAGGCCCAGGUCUUGCAGCAGCUUCUGGAAGCGCUCACGGUCCUCGGCCGCGUCGAUCAUGUCCGGCGUCGUGCCGA
rnacentral:tRNA from 1 species